AUUGAACGCUGGCGGCAUGCUUUACACAUGCAAGUCGAACGGUAACAGGCCGCAAGGUGCUGACGAGUGGCGAACGGGUGAGUAAUGCAUCGGAACGUGCCCAGUCGUGGGGGAUAACGCAGCGAAAGCUGCGCUAAUACCGCAUACGAUCUAUGGAUGAAAGCGGGGGACCGUAAGGCCUCGCGCGAUUGGAGCGGCCGAUGUCAGAUUAGGUAGUUGGUGGGGUAAAGGCUCACCUAGCCAACGAUCUGUAGCUGGUCUGAGAGGACGACCAGCCACACUGGGACUGAGACACGGCCCAGACUCCUACGGGAGGCAGCAGUGGGGAAUUUUGGACAAUGGGCGCAAGCCUGAUCCAGCAAUGCCGCGUGCAGGAAGAAGGCCUUCGGGCUGUAAACUGCUUUUGUACGGAACGAAACGGUCCUGGUUAAUACCUGGGGCUAAUGACGGUACCGUAAGAAUAAGCACCGGCUAACUACGUGCCAGCAGCCGCAGUAACAC
rnacentral:rRNA from 1 species